rnacentral:rRNA from 1 species
GACGAACCGUGCGAACGUUGUUCGGAUUCACUGGGCUUAAAGGGCGCGUAGGCGGGCGACCAAGUCCGGGGUGAAAUCUUUCGGCUCAACCGGAAGAGUGCCUUGGAUACUGGUUGCCUCGAGGGAGGUAGGGGCAUGCGGAACUUCCGGUGGAGCGGUGAAAUGCGUAGAUAUCGUCAGGAACGCCGGUGGUGAAGACGGGUGACUGGGCUGGUUCUGACACUGAGGCACGAAAGCGUGGGGAGCGAACGGG